UUAUUGUUAAUUGAAACUAAUGGACAAUUAUUUUUUCAGAUGCCUCGAAGAGUAAUAUCAUCUAGAGGUAGAGGACAUAGCCAGCAGCUCUCUACGAAUGAAACAGAUGAGCCAGUAAGAUGCAAGAGGAAACACUGGAGCACACUCCAGCAGCAUUAGAGGGACAAGCAAACGCAUCAUCAUCAUCAUCAGUUCGAACUAGAGGUCCGAACUUGGGACAUCCUAUCCCAUCAAACCCGUCUGAUCGACAAUUGAUCAGAUUGAAACAAGAGCAAAUGCGAGUGCAGAUAGAAAAGCAAAUAAAAGAUCAGAUGAAAUCAUUGAAGAACAAAAAAAGAUCUUCACCGCAUAAUCCAACUGCAGAUUGUAUUUCUCUAUCAGAUGGUUCAACAAAUUCAUAGAUUAGUUUUUAGUUUUAUGAACAUUGUUAAGUAUAAUUGAUUUAUUUUAAAUUUUAUGACGAUUGUUAAGUAUUAUGAAUUUAUUUUUAAUUUUA
rnacentral:lncRNA from 1 species